UCAGGCCGUGCUUGCACUUGGGCUCCUAUGGCCUCAGAGAAGGCCAUUGGGCACAAAGGAGAAAGACUUUGCAGAGCUCUGUUGAGGUGGGUCAUUGCUAGUGUGCCAUAAGUCUGUACUUACAUGAAAAUGAGUAUGUAUGAGCUGUGGUUGAAAUCAAAAGUGGGCUAACGGGAUGUGAAACAGGGUACCAGUGCCAUCUGCUACAGUGGCCAUUCUUGUAAAAGCUCAUUCACUUCAGUACAGUCCACAAAAUUUAUUCCAAUCUAUAGGAAUUAGUCUGGGAAUGGUGUCUCCAUCUGUUGGCCAGUCUGUCUCUAACCCCCUGUUCUAUAUCUUCUCUUUCUGUUCCAUCUGUGGGCUACUCUGUGUAUUCUCUGCACCAAGGAAAAGUAAUACAACUCCGUGGAAAUUACCAUAAAUAGUUUAGUGCUUUCCAAACGUGUUCAUGUCAUGACUCACAUAGAAAAUGGUAAAGUUUAUUUAGCAUGCUGGAACACACAGAAAAAGCUGGUCCAGGUAGGUGGGGCAGCCUAGGCUUUGGGCUUACUCUAGGGUGCAGAGGGCAGGGCUGAUCAAUAUCGUAGCAUAAAUAUAGCCUGGUAUGUGUCGAGCACAUUGGUUGGAAUAUUUUAUUGAAUCAACUUCUAUUUUUUUCUUUUUAAAUGCUAGUAAACUCUUGGCUUCUUACUUCUCAGUUCACUUUAGCAAAUGUUUAUUGAGAAUGUACUGCGUGCUAGGCACUAUGGUAGCUACCAUAAAAAAUAUAGACAAAGUAGUACCUUGUCUAGAGGGGCCUGCAGUUUAGGGAAAGAGAUGGCACAUAAUCUGAUAAUGACAAUAAAACACUGUAUGCACAAUAAAGAGGAGAGGUUAGUUUGGCAAGGCAUCUUUCAUUCAUGCUGUGCACUCUGCUCAAAAUAUUCUUUCCCCCUUGAUUUCCUGAUUUCCAUUCCCAUGCAGGAUAUCUCCCACAUUACCUUCAGAAACGACAUCAAGUAUUUUGCCUAGCUGCAGGAACCUGAAGUUAUCUUUACAACUUUUUGUUGUAUUAUAACCUGUUUUCAUGUCAAUCUUCUCCUCCAGCUCUAAGUUAUUUCAGAUGGAGACUUUGUCUUGUUCAUUUUUGUGUCUCAGUGCCUAGCACACAACCUGGCACAUAAUGUCCAUUGAAUGAAUGAAUGAAUUCCCAUUUAUUCAUUUCCAUCUUUUCAGUUGUGAAGUUAUCAAUGGCUGCAAAGAAGCUCUUACUUAGAGGCUGGAGGCACCCAUAUUUCACUGAAACUCUGAAUCCCAUGUCCUUGGUAAUCAAUCAAUCAGGAUCCGCAUUUCACAGAUUUAGAAUAAAGAUUUUAGUUGCUUGGAGCCAAUGUCAGGAAGUGUUCUGACAACCAUUAAUUUUUAGUUCUGUCAAAUACUGGUAUCAGUGCAUGAGCUACUACCUUUAAUUUGACCUUUGGUAGACCAUUGCCCACACCAAGAACUGACAUGCAGACUAUAUAAAUAAUUACAGCAUAAAGACAGCCUAAGCUAACAUUUUAGCAAACUGAGAAUGAGCUUACCCAGCAGCAAUUACUUUUUAAAUAGUACAUCACAUAGAAAAAAUACUUAUUUCAGGAACUUAGGUUAAUGCAUUUUAUCACGAGAUUCACAGUGUUCCCUUAGUUCCUAUUAAUAGAUUUUAUCUAUAUUGAGAUAAUACUACCUACUAAAUUAUUUUCAUUGUGACUUUUGACUGUUGGAAAAUAGUGCUUUUUGUCCCCUGCAACUUGUUUUCAAAGCUGUAUUUUGAAAAUGUCAUUUGGAAAUACAAAAUAUUAGCCAGGCGUGGUGGCGGGCACCUGUAGUCCCAGCUACUGGGGAGGCUGAGACAGAAGAAUGGCGUGAACCCAGGAGGCAGAGCUUGCAGUGAGCCGAGAUCAAGCCACUGCACUCCAGCCUGGGUGACAGUGUGAGACUCUAUCUCAAAAAAAAAAAAAAAAAAAAAAA
ensembl:lncRNA